rnacentral:rRNA from 1 species
UAAUACAUGCAAGUCGAGCGGACCGACGGGAGCUUGCUCCCUUAGGUCAGCGGCGGACGGGUGAGUAACACGUGGGUAACCUGCCUGUAAGACUGGGAUAACUCCGGGAAACCGGGGCUAAUACCGGAUGCUUGAUUGAACCGCAUGGUUCAAUCAUAAAAGGUGGCUUUUAGCUACCACUUACAGAUGGACCCGCGGCGCAUUAGCUAGUUGGUGAGGUAACGGCUCACCAAGGCGACGAUGCGUAGCCGACCUGAGAGGGUGAUCGGCCACACUGGGACUGAGACACGGCCCAGACUCCUACGGGAGGCAGCAGUAGGGAAUCUUCCGCAAUGGACGAAAGUCUGACGGAGCAACGCCGCGUGAGUGAUGAAGGUUUUCGGAUCGUAAAACUCUGUUGUUAGGGAAGAACAAGUACCGUUCGAAUAGGGCGGCACCUUGACGGUACCUAACCAGAAAGCCACGGCUAACUACGUGCCAGCAGCCGCGGUAAUACGUAGGUGGCAAGCGUUGUCCGGAAUUAUUGGGCGUAAAGCGCGCGCAGGCGGUUUCUUAAGUCUGAUGUGAAAGCCCCCGGCUCAACCGGGGAGGGUCAUUGGAAACUGGGGAACUUGAGUGCAGAAGAGGAGAGUGGAAUUCCACGUGUAGCGGUGAAAUGCGUAGAGAUGUGGAGGAACACCAGUGGCGAAGGCGACUCUCUGGUCUGUAACUGACGCUGAGGCGCGAAAGCGUGGGGAGCGAACAGGAUUAGAUACCCUGGUAGUCCACGCCGUAACGAUGAGUGCUAAGUGUUAGAGGGUUUCCGCCCUUUAGUGCUGCAGCAAACGCAUUAAGCACUCCGCCUGGGGAGUACGGUCGCAAGACUGAAACUCAAAGGAAUUGACGGGGGCCCGC